AAAAAAAAAACUGAGAUAAAUGCUUUUUUUUUUCUUUAAAAAAUAAAUCUAAAUUGACAGGCUGUGGGUAACUAUGCAAGCAUAAAGACAUGAGUAUCAUGACAUAGCCAGAACCCAUCAGAGCUGAGCAUGUUCUCAUGUACCUGUAACCCUCAAUCUGGGAGAAGAGAGUAUAGAGAAAGGGUCAGAGACAGGAGGAUUGCUGGAAUCUGCUAGCUGCCAAGCUAGCUCCAGGUACAGUGAGAGAGCCUUUCUGAGGGUGAUAAGUGACCAGAGGUAGAGCUGGACUCCAGGUCUUCUUCUAGGCCCUUCAAAUAUUCACAGGCGUCCAUACCCACACACGUGUGCAUAUACCACAUACACCUCCCCCACUCAAACACGUCCAUACCCACACACGUGUGCAUAUACCACAUACACCUCCCCCACUCAAACACAUCCAUACCCACACACGUGUGCAUAUACCACAUACACCUCCCCCCACUCAAACACAUCCAUACCCACAUACCCACACACGUGUGCAUAUACCACAUACACCUCCCCCACUCAAACACG
rnacentral:lncRNA from 1 species